AUGAAUGAACUUUUGAGUAAACCUUAUGAGUCGGCUGAGCUUCAGCGCGCAAUGUUCCAAAUGGCUCCGUCCAAGGCGCCGGGGGUGGAUGGCUUUACGGCGGGUUUUUUCCAACGCCACUGGAAGUUGUUGCAAGAAGACGUAACACAAGCGGUGCUGGCUUUUCUUAAUGGAGGCGAACUACCAUUGGGUCUCAACGACACAUCUAUCACACUGAUCCCUAAGGUACGUCACCCCCAAAGCAUCUCACAAUAUCGGCCAAUUGCUCUUUGUCCAGUGUUAUACAAACUGGCAGUAAAGGUUAUAGCUAACCGGUUGCGAGUGUGCAUGGACGAUAUUAUCAGUGAGGAACAAAGUGCUUUCGUCCCAGGUCGUCUGAUCACAGAUAAUGUUCUCGUUGCCUUUGAAAGUGUUCACGCGAUGAAGAGACGGAAGAAAGGGAGGAACUACACUUGUGCGAUCAAACUUGACAUGAUGAAGGCUUACGAUAGAGUCGAAUGGCACUUUCUGGAAGCCAUACUCUUGAAGCUGGGGUUCAAUGCUAAUCUGGUCAGGCUGAUCAUGAAGUGUGUCACAUCUGUUCGGUUCUCUGUCCGUGUGAAUGGAGAGCUGCAGCCUUAUUUCGACCCAUCCAGAGGGCGUCGGCAGGGGUGUCCAAUCUCCCCUUAUUUGUUCUUGCUUUGCGCCGAAGGUUUUACCUCACUUCUGAAGCACUACGGGGACUUUGUGGACAGGGGUAUCCGAGUGAACUUCAGAUCACCAUGGGUGAAUCACCUACUAUUUGCUGAUGAUAGCCUCAUCUUCAUCAAGGCGAAUGAGGAAAGCGCGGCUAGGCUGAAUGAUAUUCUUGCAAUAUAUGGGGAUGCUUCUGGACAGUGUGUCAACAGGAGCAAGAGCUCUAUAUUCUUCAGCCCAAACACGCCAACGACCCUUAGACAAACUUUGAAGCAACUUCUUGAAGUACAAGUCGAAGCUUUCUCAGAACGCUACCUCGGCCUACCCACUGCCGUUGGCAAGAUCACUAGUGGAACCUUUGAAUAUCUAGUUGAUCGGGCACGAGGCAGCAUGCAAGGUUGGGCAGAGAGGCUAUUUGCUUGCGCCGGCAGAGAGACACUUUUAAAAUCCAUUGUUCAAGCCAUCCCGACGUUUAGCAUGAGUUGUUUUCUGUUUACGAAAAAGGUGUGCAAAAGUCUCACCUCGAGCAUGGCAAAAUUUUGGUGGGUAAGCUCUAUUGAUAGGAACUCCUUACAUUGGAUCGCUUGGGACAAACUUGCCAUGCCAAAGUGCAAAGGCGGAAUGGGAUUCCGUGAUUUUCGGCUGUUUAACUUGGCGCUGUUAGGGAAGCAUGGAUGGUGUUUUAUGAUGAACCUUAACUCCCUGUGCGCCAAGGUUAUGAAAGGAAGAUAUUUUCUAGACUCGGAUUUCCUUCACGCAACAGUCCCUAAAUCAUCCUCAGCUACCUGGAGAGCGAUUAUAGCUGGCCGGGAAGCUUUACAAACCGGGCUGCUGAAGCGAGUCGGAUCCGGUACUUCCAUCUCUGUAUGGGAAGACAAGUGGAUUCCCUCCACUGUCUCAAUGACUCCACUGAUGCGUCCAGUAAAUACGGUGAUUCAGACAGUGAACGAGCUGAUUGAUACAACUAACUGGACAUGGCGUCAGGAGUUGGUGCGAGGGAUUUUCAUUGCACCUGAUGCCGCUGCCAUUCUUAACAUACCAUUGCGACAGGGAGGCGGUGAAGAUAUCCUUGCUUGGGCACAUGAGAAAUCAGGCAUUUACUCUGUUAAAUCGGCGUGUUGA
rnacentral:rRNA from 1 species